AAGCAAAUGACAAGAGAACCACUGGGGGUGAAUUAAAGAAUAACUACUCUAUAAAGAAUUGAGUAAAGACAUAUGGAUAAGAACUUAACUUUCGUUAAAUUCUAGAUCACCAAGCCUAGUUGCACAUUUUUUUUUCAAAGGGGAUCGUCUCCGAUUUAUUGCUCUAAGAAAUGUUAGCAACAAACUCCCCUUUGCAGACUUAGUUCAUGUAUGUGUGCAAAGAAUGAGUGACUGACUUUCUGUGGUGAAAAUUGUGAUUUUAAAUAGUUAUAUUCUUAAAUGACAUUUUCAAAUUCAAGAAACAGGAUAUUUUGAGGGGAGAGCAGUUCUCAGUUUAUAGUAAAGGUCAAUUUGGACAUUUUGCUAGAACCCAUUAAGUGACGCCUGUGCAAUUAGAAUUUUUAUCUCAGUUUUAAUUUAUAAAUACAGAGAUAUUGGAAUAGACAAAUAAAAACUCUACAAUUUUAAUUAGCUUUUUGUGUCCAGGUUUGCAUAGAUAUAGAAGUUAUAUAUUUGUUCUCUCAAUAGCAGGGCUUUGUUUUGUUUUUAAAAAACAAAAAGAAAUAAGACUUUUAUUAGGGGAAAUUUGCUUUAGGGCCUUUUGAAUAACAUGUCCUAAUCCAGAAGAGCUUCCAAAAAUAUCAUGGAAUAGCCAACAGAUGAAAUAAAUAAGGGAUCUGGUAUGUUCAUAAUAUAUUCUUUAAAAUAAUUUAAACUUUCCUAAUAUUUAUGUUAGAAAAUGUAUGCUUAAGAGAAAAAUUAAUAUUUAAACAGGAAUCAUCUCUCUUCACAAAGUAAUAUGUUAGAGAGGGGUACCUACUCUCAAGUCUUUGGGAAUUCUACCUUCAAGAUCAUUCCUGACAUGGAGGUGGGUGGACUCUGCAGGCGUAAGACCUAGUACCAUUAGGCAUUUUAUUAUUAAACACAAAACCACUUGAUCAAUUCCAAACACAACAGUAGCAACUUUGUGAUAUUUUCAUUUUCCAUGUCAUUUUCCUUUGUGGGGGAAUAGACUUGGCAAAUAUAUUUUUCUUUAUGAAUAAAUUGUUUCUGGGAUUUGUAUAGCCAUGUCUUAUGAGUUUAGACAUUUUUAGUUAUUCUUUCUAAGAACAACAGUGCACCCAUGAACAAGAGUUCCUGUGACCCCUCAAGGCUAAAGGCCAGACCUGGAGCAGUGAAGCUCCCUAAUGCCAUGCCGUUCAGCACAUAAUCCUUGUCCUCUGGCCAGACUUCCCUCCUGACCCUUGAGAAUAUUAUGGACUCAUCCUUUUGCCUACUUCAGCCUCAGUCAGGCCACCUGACUUAAGGAGAUUCAUGAAGGAUAGCAGCUUUUUUGAGGUAAGCUGUCUAAAUGGAACCAUUCAGAGUUCUGAGGGACACCAGGAGAUCUAAGAAAGAGUGGGAGAAAUUAAUAGCAACACAUGCUGCCUGUGGUGAUGACAGAAAAAACAAACAAACAACAACAAAAAAAAAAACCCCAAGAACUACAAGAACAACAAACAUCAGAUCAGACAGAAUAAGAAAUGAGGGAGGACAGGCUCUGAGUAUGGAGAAAAAUGUCCAUGAGUUUGGCUGUAAAAGGAAAGACAGAGGCAGAGGCUAGGAGUUGUAGGAGGUUGUGGAGUUGAAGGAAGUUUUGUUUGGUUUCAGGUUUUUUUGUGUAACAAUCCAGGUCUAAUUUGGAAACAAAAUGAACCACAAGGGAUAGCCAGUGUAGAAAUUUCACGAGGUAGGGAGCUGGAAGGCACUGGAUCAACGAUGUUGAGUUUAAUUAAGAAGAUACUGAAGUAGGUCCUGAAGUCUUUGAAGCCUGAGUCCCUGAGAGACAGCUGAUAAAUAAGAAGGAGGAAAGGUAGUGAAGGGGCAGAAGGAAAGAAGGAAUGUUAAGAGGAUCUCAAGUUCCAUACAGAAUGGUAAAUAGUCUGGGGAAAAAAAAAAUGGCUUUAGAUUGUAUGGAGGAUGUUGACCCUAUUUUCCAGUCCUGAGCUAGGUGAAUAAUAGGAAAAUGGGUGGCCGUCACUUGAGAGGACUAAAGGUAGGGUGACCAAAUCAUCUGGUUUGUUAAUAACAACCCUGAUGUAUACCUCUGGUCCUGACACAAUUAUCCGUAGUGCUGUCUCUUACUCUUUAUAAGUGAGAAAGUGUGGUAUGGAUUUGCUUGUUUGUUUCGUUUGUUGCUUGAGAGAACAGUUCCACGGACCAUAGUAAGAAAAGUUUGGGAGGGAAUGGAGCAGUGGAGUAUUGAAUCAGAGGAGAUAUCCAGUAGUGUUUGAAUUGAGAGUGUAAAAGAGAUGAGUCAACCUUAGCCAGAGCUCUCAUCUUCCAUUUCAGUUUUCUUACCAAUUCUCUGACUCCUUUAUCUGGAAACAGAUGGACAACCAAGCCUUCAAAGGUUAAAGAUGCCUGUUAUUAUUUAUAUUUUCACUUUGUGGCCAGCAGUUGUAGCCCUUACUAUAUGACAAAGAGAAAGAUUCAAAGAAAAGGCCUUUGCGAACAUUUAACCUGGUCCAAGUUCCUGCAGAUGAUUGCCAUAAAGUGGCUCCUAAUUGGGAUGAUGGCUCUUAACACAUGCUUCCCCUUGCCCUCACGUUUGGAGAAUUCUUUCCUCCUAGCUUUGGCAGAUUCAGCUUUCUCUCUGCCAACUCAACUUCAUUACUUCCUUCAAAAUCAGGGUAAGAAAACAUGGCAGUUUAACGCCUUUGGAUCAUAUGAAGGCUGGUUUAUUCAUCGAAGUUACUAGGUUUUGCCAAGCAUUAUGCAUUAAGAGCUGAUGACAAAAGGAUUAGACUAUUUAAGUCAGAUGACAGUACCAAAAAGCAAAUAUAAAUGAAUUACCUUGCUAAAAACAAAAUAUUCCUUUUUAAAGUUUGUUAUUAUAGUUGAUUUACAACAUUCUGUCAAUUUCUUCUGUACAGCAAACUGACCCAGUCAUACACAUAUAUACAUUGCUUUUCUUAUACCAUCCUCCAUCAUGUUCUAUCACAAAUGAUUAGAUAGUUCCCCGUGCUAUACAGCAGGACCUCAUUGCUUAUCCACUCCAAAUGCAAUAGUUUGCAUCUACUAACCCCAAAUUCCCCAUCCAUCCCACUCCCUCCCCCUUCCCUUUAGCAACCACAAGUCUGUUCUCUAUGUCUGUGAAUCAGUUUCUGUUUCAUAGAUAUGAUCAUCUGUGCCAUAUUUUAGAUUCCACAUGUAAGUGAUAUCAUAUGGUAUCUUUCUCUUUCUGACUUACUUCACUUAGUGUGAGAAUCUCUAUUUCCAUCCAUGUUGCUAAAAAUGGCAUUAUUUUGUUCUUUUUUAUGGCUGAGUAGUAGUCCAUUGUGUAUAUGUACCACAUCUUAAUCCAGUCACCUGUUGAUGAACAUUUAGGUUGUGUCCAUGUAUUGAAAUAGUGCUGCAGUGAACACAGGAGUGCAUGUAAUUUUUGAAUAAAAGUUUUGUCUGGAUAUACAUAUAUAUAUGCACAGGAAUGGGACUGAUGGACCACAUGGUAGUUCUGUAUUUAGUUUUCUGAGGAACCUCCAUACUGUUUUCCACAGUGGCUGUUCCACGUACCAAUUUACAUUCCCAUCAACAGUGAGGGAUGGUUCCCUCUUCUCUAUACCCUCUCCACCAUUUGUUAUUUGUAGACUUAUUAAUGAUAACCAUUCUGACCAGCGUGAGGUGGUUCCUCAUUGUGAAAAGCAAAAUAUUCUUACGUCUCUAGUCAUAGCCAUGAGCUGAAAUGUACUUUCAAAGACCAAUGUAACAUGUAACCAAAAUGGUAUUGAAGAUUAUUUUUAAAAAAAGAAAUAGUCCCACUUUCACUAAACACAGAAAUACCCAUUACAACGUUUUCAUAGGAGACUUUUAAGGCAAUGAGGUCAUUUGUAUUUAAGCCUAUAAAUAACAUAUGGUAAUAUAACUGAGGCAUAAAGCUUGUCAGUGUAGCUUAUGGAAAUAUAAAGUCAUUUCCCUGAGAUAUAGACAUUCUUCAGUCAUCAUGAUAAAUAUGUAAGUUAUAUAUAUAGUCACUUAUGAUGGAGCAUGAUAAUACGAGCAAAAGAAUGUAUACAUGUAUGUAUGACUGGGUCACCUUGCUGUACAGUAGAAAACUGACAGAACACUGUAAACUAGCUAUGAUGGAAAAAAUAAAAAUCAU
rnacentral:lncRNA from 1 species